rnacentral:misc_RNA from 1 species
GCAGCAGCAGCAGUAGCAACACCAGCUUGAAAGUUUUGUCACCCUUAACCUCAUUUGGUAAGUUAGGUUGUCGCCAUUCAGGCAAAAUCAGUGCUGAACACAUUGAAGUAUUUGCUAAGCCUUAAGACGAUAGUAACUAUUCGUCUAUCCUCUCUGAUAUAUAUAUUAAAUCUUGAACAUCCUUCACUCAGUCAUAGAUUUAGACUAAUAAAAGUCUAAAUCGAGCUGGCGAGGAGACGUGUUA